UCUGGUUGAUCCUGCCAGAGGCCACUGCUAUCAGAGUUCGAUUAAGCCAUGCGAGUCGAGAGGUGCAAGACCUCGGCAUACUGCUCAGUAACACGUGGAUAACCUACCCUCAGGUGGGGGAUAACCCCGGAAAACUGGGGAUAAUACCCCAUAGAUCAGGGACGCUGGAAUGCCUCCUGGUCGAAAGGUGCGCCGCCUGAGGAUGGGUCUGCGGCCGAUUAGGUUGUUGUUGGGGUAACGGCCCAACAAGCCGGUAAUCGGUACGGGUUGUGGGAGCAGGAGCCCGGAGAUGGAUUCUGAGACACGAAUCCAGGCCCUACGGGGCGCAGCAGGCGCGAAAACUUUACAAUGCGGGAAACCGUGAUAAGGGAACUCUGAGUGCCCGUAAAAUCGGGCUGUCCAUCAGUGUAAAAAACUGGUGAAGAAAGGGCCGGGCAAGACCGGUGCCAGCCGCCGCGGUAAUACCGGCGGCUCGAGUGGUGGCCACUAUUAUUGGGCUUAAAGCGUCCGUAGCAGGGUUGUUAAGUCUCUUGGGAAAUCUACCGGCUCAACCGAUAGGCGUUCAGGGGAUACUGGCAACCUAGGGACCGGAAGAGGUGAGAGGUACUCCAGGGGUAGGAGUGAAAUCCUGUAAUCCUUGGGGGACCACCUGUGGCGAAGGCGUCUCACCAGGACGGCUCCGACUGUGAGGGACGAAAGCUGGGGGAGCAAACCGGAUUAGAUACCCGGGUAGUCCCAGCUGUAAACGAUGCGCGUUAGGUGUAUCGGUGACCACGAGUCACCGAGGUGCCGAAGAGAAAUCGUGAAACGUGCCGCCUGGGAAGUACGGUCGCAAGGCUGAAACUUAAAGGAAUUGGCGGGGGAGCACCACAACGGGGUGGAGCCUGCGGUUUAAUUGGAUUCAAC
rnacentral:rRNA from 1 species